AAAUAUUACUCAAAUAUAUGUCAAUUCAACCUUAAUUUAAUUCUAGUUAAAACCCUGAUGAAUUUCACUCAAACUUUAGACCAAACCUAAUUAAAUCUUAAACCCUAAUAAAUCCUAAAUCCUAAAUCAAACCCUAUUUCAAAUCCUAAAUCCUAGACCCUAAAUCAAACCCUAUUUCAAACCCUAAAUCCUAUACCAAAUCCUAGAUCAACCCUAAAUCCUAAUCCAAACCCUAAACCCGUAAACCAAACCUUAAAUUAAAUCCUAACCAAACCCUAAUUCAAAUCCUAAUCUAAACCCUAAAUCAAAUCCUCAAUCCUAAUCCAAAUCCUAAACCCUAAAUCAAACCCUAAUCCAACCCUAAAUCCUAAUCAAACCCUAAAUCCUAAUCCAAACCAUAAAUCAAAUCCUAACCAAAUCCUAAAUCUUAAUUCAAAUUCUAAACCCUAAUCCCAACCUUAAAUCAAACCCUAAUCAAAUCCUAAUCCAAACCUUAA
rnacentral:lncRNA from 1 species